CCCGUCAAUUCCUUUGAGUUUUAGCCUUGCGGCCGUACUCCCCAGGCGGGGUACUUAAAGCGUUAGCUACGGCGCGGAACCCGUGGAAUGGACCCCACACCUAGUACCCACCGUUUACAGCGUGGACUACCAGGGUAUCUAAGCCUGUUCGCUCCCCACGCUUUCGCUCCUCANCGUCAGGAAAGGCCCAGAGAACCGCCUUCGCCACUGGUGUUCCUCCUGAUAUCUGCGCAUUCCACCGCUCCACCAGGAAUUCCAUUCACCCCUACCUUCCUCAAGUCAACCCGUAUCGAAAGCACGCUCAGGGUUAAGCCCCAAGAUUACACUUCCGACGCGAUCAACCACC
rnacentral:rRNA from 1 species